GACGAACGCUGGCGGCGUGCUUAAUACAUGCAAGUCGAGCGCUGAAGGUCGGUAUUUGUCCCAACUGGAUGAGCAGAGCACGGGUGAGUCACGCGUGGGGCCUCUGCCUUUGAGCGGGGGACCUUCUUUGGAAACGAAUGCUAAUACCGCAUAAACACCUUAAACACAAGUUUUAAGUUUGAAUGAUGAAAUUUCAUCACUCACCCAUGAUCCAGCGUUGUAUUAGCUAGUUGGUGAGGUACAGGCUCACCAAGGCGAUGCUACAUAGCCGACCUGAGAGGGUGGGCAGCCACAUUGCGACGGAGACACGGCACAAACUCAUACGGGUAGCAGCAGUAGGGAAGCUGCGGGAAUAGACGAAAGACUGACCGAGAAACGCCGCGUGAGUGAAGAAGGAUUUCGGAUCGGAAAACACGGUUGGUAGAGAAUAACGGUGUUGAGAGUGGAAAGCUCAUCAAGUGACGGUAACUACCCAGAAAGGGACGGCUAACUACGUG
rnacentral:rRNA from 1 species